GACAGAGGGUGCAACCGUUGUUCGGAAUUACUGGGCGUAAAGCGAGUGUAGGCGGUCCGAAAAGUCGGGUGUGAAAGCCCUGGGCUCAACCCAGGAAGUGCACUCGAAACUGCCGGGCUAGAGUACUGGAGAGGUUGGUGGAAUUCUCGGUGUAGAGGUGAAAUUCGUAGAUAUCGAGAGGAACACCGGUGGCGAAGGCGGCCAACUGGACAGAUACUGACGCUGAGACUCGAAAGCGUGGGGAGCGAACAGG
rnacentral:rRNA from 1 species